GACUCUGUGAGGCCACUAUUGCAAGGUGAGACGCUUUGCGUUGAUUGGUGCUGCUGGACCACACUGGAGGUGCGAGUCCGCUGUGUAAUGGUUUAUGCCAUUACAAAGGAGCUGGCCUCUGUACUCAACUGGGCAGGGAAAAAAUACCAAGGGCCAGACAAAGCAAAAAAGGGCAUUUAAAGAGACAGCGCUGUGCAGAUGCAUAUUUGAUGGCCUGGCGCAGCAGGUAGGGGCGAACUCUAUGUCUGAGUUGGUCUUUGCUCAAGCAGUCCAGAAAUGGCUCAGAUAUGCUCCAGGUCGUACGGGUGGCGCGCAGGACACACAUCAUCCAUCCCCAUCCCGGAGUAAAUGAUAAAAAGUGACGUGAAACAUAGAAAUGUAAAU